AUGAUGGAGGUCAGAGAUCCAUCACACCAAACAAGACCUUCUGGCUUCCAGUUUUCUUCCAUCAAUUUGAAGCAGCGAUCCGCAGGAGCCAGCUUGGUGUUCUUCCUCACAGCGGAGCCUCCCUCUGAAGGUCUUCCUUUGGAGAUCGGGUCCUCCGGAAGAUCCAAACAGAUGGACCACAGCGUUUCCAUCUCCUCUCUGCACUGUCUUGUCUGUGACCGUUUCUUUUUCCCAGAGCAGAACUGAGUCUGGACUAUAGUCUUCAGGUCGGGUAGUCAUGUGGGGAAGAAAACAGGGAAGCGUGGGGAUGGAAAAAGGAAACAGAAGAAGUCCCUACGGAGCCGUCUGUGGAGCCCGUUCAGAUAAAAAGGCUGGAAGGAUGAAGCCUUGUGAAAGAUCAAGGCACGAAUAAUUGAGUCAAAAUUGUAAAUGAUCCAGUUUACUAGUUUAUUCAUUAUUGUUUAUCAUUUCCUUUGAUUGAUUGAAGAUGCCUUUAUUUUCACAGGAGUUCAUGUUUAAGAUGUAAAAGAACCUUCUAAAAAAACAGUGUUCAUGCUUAUAAUGUGAAUUUGAGUUAAGACUUUUACUGUGAAGGCUCCACCUACUUCCGGUUUCUCCGUGAAAUCCCUACGCAUGCGUCAAUUUCGCAGAGACGGGAAAAAACGGGAAAUGACGCUAUAGCGACAAGAGAAACGGACUGAAAUUGUAUAAAUCUGUCAUUUGUUUUAGCAUCUAACUGGGAGGCGAACAGGUAGGAUUAUUGUUAUGUGUAUUGUAUACAUUUUGGGAUUGUUUGCUAUUUGUUUUGUGUAAAAGAACGAAAUAUGUUUCAAGUCAUCCAACAACAAGCUAACGACGCUACUAGCUAAAAAGGUAAAUCAAAAAGACAAUUAUUGUAGGUUUGUUAUUUUCCUGUUCUUCAGCUUUUACGGUGUGAUUAUGACUGGAGUAAAUAAUUGAGUGCAUCGUCUGAAUAAAGUACGGCUGGAAUGCUACAAAAGAUAUUCAAAUUAAAAACGGAGCCAGCACAGGACAGGACAGGUCACGUGACCCUGUGAUUCCAUGGAAACUUCUUUCCGCACUGCCCUCUAGUGGCCAUCCAGGGAAAAUGACUGCUUUUGCAGUGAAGGGUCUUUUAUUUUGGGCUUCUGUCGUCAUAGAUAGACUUCAUUACAUUUGUAACAUUUGAUUUUCUGUCUAGCCCCAUUUUUUAUCCAUAAACAAAGAGCCCGGAAAAUGAUAAAAUGAUUCAAAUAUAUCAAACUACAGAUGUGUGAAGAAUUACACGACAAUAAGUUAACAGAACUUCACAUUAUCAAAAUGAACCUUAAGCACAUCCUAAUGCUUUGUUUAACUCGUAUUUUACUUUAAACUACUUAACGAUGUGAAUGAAUGGUAUUUACAGUAAAAAUUCGUUCUAAUAUUACCACAAAAUAAAACAGUUUAUUUCGUCUUGAUCUGUAUUUGUUCCUUUGGUUGCAGUAGGUGGAUUGUGUUGUUGGUUCACUGUUAAGCCACGUUCUGUGAUGUUCAUUAGUUUAAGAAAUUACAUAUUUUUGGUAAAACAAUUAUUACUUUGUCUUUGAAAGUGUUCAAUCCAUUUAGUCAUAAUAAAGGUUUCAAAGUCCUAUUCUGACUCAGUAAUGACACUGAAACUUAAUCAGUUUAGUUGAUUAAGCCGUUCUUCUAUGAUAAAUACCACUUCUAUUUAUAAAAAUAUUUAUAAAAGAAGUUAAGAUCAGGUGACGAAGCUAUACCUUCAUUGGACAAAUCAAAUUUGAUUCCAGAGAAGAAAACUUGAUUUUAUUCAUGUUGUAAACAGAAAUCUGCAGGUCACAUUUUUGACGCGUUUCUGAACGGUUUCUUCUCAACACAUUUGUUGAUCGCACACAGUAAAGGGUGAAGGGUUUGAAUCCGGAUGGAAUAAAAACAUGGCAUGUUGUUUUUCGGUGGUGGUCGUUUAAUGCACAGAGAGUUCUGCAGUGUCUUUCCUGCCGGAUGAAACGAACCCCCAUGAGCUCCGAUGGCAUCGUUUUCUGUUUCUGUUCCACUCAUUCUGCAGGUUGGCUGAAUAUUUAUGAAUAAAACGUCCCGCCGUGUUCAUCAGAGGCGUUUGACACCGCAGACGAAUUGAAAGAACAUUCACAGAGUCGAGAAGGUUAGCAGAACAU
rnacentral:lncRNA from 1 species